AUCCGGCUGGCUCAGUAGAGCGCGUGCCUCUUGAUCUUGAGGUCAUGAGUUCGAGCCCCAUGCCGGUUG
rnacentral:tRNA from 1 species